rnacentral:rRNA from 1 species
UACGAAGGGGGCUAGCGUUGUUCGGAAUUAUCGGGCGUAAAGCGCGUGUAGGCGGCUUUGCAAGUCGGGUGUGAAAGCCCUCAGCUCAACUGAGGAAGUGCGCCCGAAACUGCAGAGCUUGAGUGCCGGAGAGGGUGGCGGAAUUCCCCAAGUAGAGGUGAAAUUCGUAGAUAUGGGGAGGAACACCGGUGGCGAAGGCGGCCACCUGGACGGUAACUGACGCUGAGACGCGAAAGCGUGGGGAGCAAACAGG